UUUGUCAAUUUGCAUUCCUGAACUUGGUACUUUCCAUUUUCUGCCUAGAAUCAUAGCAUGGUUUGGGUUGGAAGGGACCUUAAAGAUCGUAGUUUUUGCUCUCAUCCUUUUUCUCUAUCAUAAUUCCUCAGAAAUACACUUCCAUUCCAACAGAAAUAAGCUUUUACACAGUUUAUAAACGUGGUGUUUUUAAAAGUGAAAUGUUUGGAUGUGGAGGUACAGUUUAAUUCUCAUUAAUGGAACACUUCCUGCUAUUACAGAUCUUUAAGUAACUAAAACAUUUGCAAAUUACCAAUCACUGUGGGCGUUUCUAUAAAUUUCAUGGAUUUGUAGAAUUGUACAGAAUUCAUUAUGGAACAUGUGCCACCCACUUAAAUCUAAGCCCAGAUCUUCAGCAGUGUUUGGAAGUGCACUAUUUUUAAUAAAUAGAUAAAUAAGUCAUCACUCUCUUUUUCUAUCUGUUCCCCAAUUGAAGCUGAAUGUAAGUAUCUGUUUGGAUCAGAGUUCAAGCCACCCCUGUCAUUCCUGAAAUCACCCACAGAGGAAGAGGAAUUCAUGGCCUUCUGCAUCACUGGGGAGCAGUGAGCAAGGCUGAGCAUCUUCCACCCACACGGACGUGGGGCCUUCCAAUGCACGAGGAGGGGCUGUAGCAGAUUUCCCCCCUCCCUCAACAUAACCCCCCCAACGAAACAAAUCCCACAAUUCAGGUCUUAACUAGAAAGAGGACCUGGAAUGUUAGACCGAAAAAGGUGGGAAUUUCCUACACUUCUUGAGGACCAAAGCCCCACCUCUGCCUGCAGACCAGCGGACACAGCUGCACCAUCCUCCUCCUCCUCUGUGCCACUCCUGGGAGCAACGGCAGCGUGGGCACGACCUGUCAGCUUCUCCCCACCUGAGCUGAUUCUUUUUAAUAAAGGCACUAAAAAGGA